rnacentral:rRNA from 1 species
UACGUAGGGGGCAAGCGUUGUCCGGAAUUAUUGGGCGUAAAGGGCGCGUAGGCGGCCUGUUAAGUCGAACGUGAAAUCCCCGGGCUCAACCCGGGAACUGCGUCCGAUACUGGCAGGCUUGAAUCCGGGAGAGGGAUGCGGAAUUCCAGGUGUAGCGGUGAAAUGCGUAGAUAUCUGGAGGAACACCGGUGGCGAAGGCGGCAUCCUGGACCGGCAUUGACGCUGAGGCGCGAAAGCCAGGGGAGCAAACGGG